CGCCGCGUGAGUGAUGAAGGUCUUCGGAUCGUAAAGCUCUGUCUUCAGGGACGAUAAUGACGGUACCUGAGGAGGAAGCCACGGCUAACUACGUGCCAGCAGCCGCGGUAAUACGUAGGUGGCGAGCGUUGUCCGGAUUUACUGGGCGUAAAGGGAGCGUAGGCGGAUUUUUAAGUGAGAUGUGAAAUACCCGGGCUCAACUUGGGUGCUGCAUUUCAAACUGGAAGUCUAGAGUGCAGGAGAGGAGAGUGGAAUUCCUAGUGUAGCGGUGAAAUGCGUAGAGAUUAGGAGGAACACCAGUGGCGAAGGCGACUCUCUGGACUGUAACUGACGCUGAGGCUCGAAAGCGUGGGGAGCAAACAGGAUUAGAUACCCUGGUAGUC
rnacentral:rRNA from 1 species